UUACCGGGGCGGCGGCGGCGGCGGCACCUUCCCCUGGAAACGGCGGCGGCGGCGGCGGCUGCUGAGUGGCUGCGGCCGCCGCGGGGCCCGCCCCCUCGUCCCCGCCCACCCGGGGAAGCCCCGCCCAACCGGGGCCAAGCCCCGCCCAAGCAGGGUAAAACCACGCCCACCGGGGCGAAGCCCCGCCCACGCGGAGGGCGGGGCGGGGAUUCCCGGCCGCACAAGCCCCGACUUGCCCGCGGGGGGGCGGGGCGGUGGGGGGGUGACGUCACGGCGGGAGGGGGCGGGGCCCUGCCCAGAGCGGGCAGCGCGGCGCGCGCUGCCAGACCCAGCCGGUGCCGGCGGCGCGAGCGGUUCAUGCGGCUGCGACCCCCCCGGCAGCGAUGGCCAGCGAAGGGUCCCUCGCCGAGCCGCCCGCCCCCCCGCCCGCACCCCCCGCCUGCCGCCGCGGGGGGGGGCCCGCUGGGCCUGCGGGUCCCCCUGGCCCCCCCACGCCGCCACCCCCGCCUGAGCUGCGCCUGUCCCGGGGGGGGGGUGUCCCGGCCUGCCCCCCCCGCCGCACCCCGCCCGCGCCAUCGGCCUCUGUCGCUGCGGGACGCCAGGACCCCCCCCCGCCACCCACGGCGAGUUUCACCCCAUGGAGAACGGGCCCCCCCCACGAGGGCCCCCCACAAAGCGGGGGGGGGAAGCCGGGGGGGGGGCUGUCCCCAACGGCCACCUCCCCGGGGACCCCCCCGGCCCCGAGCGGGAGCUGGGCGCCCGCCUGCGCCGCCUGGGCGACGCCUUCCAGCAGACCUACGAGCAGCAGCGGGGAGGCGUCGGCGGCGUGUUUUGGGGUCACCUCUACCGCCUGGUCUCGCAGUUGCUGGGAGCCGUCUACAACCUGCAGGGGAGGGAAGGCAACUAGCGCCCCCCCCCCCCCCCCCCCAAUUAUAUUUAUUUAAUUUAUUGGGGUUUAACUGGGGGGAGGAGGGGCGUGGGGAAGAAAAAGGGGGGGGGGGGGCGGACACGGGGGAACACACC